GGUGGCUCAGUGGUAGAGUGCUUGCCUUGCAUGCAAGAGGUCCUGAGUUCGAUUCCUCAGCACCA
rnacentral:tRNA from 1 species